rnacentral:pre_miRNA from 1 species
CUGAGCAAGAUGGAGAAGCAGGGCACGUGCAAUUCUAACUCAUGAACGCACGAAUGAACCCAGAGAAUCACUUUCUUUUUCUGCUUUUCACCAACCAGAUAGAUUCAUCCAGUUGCAGUGAGUUAGUCCUUCAUGUGCCCCUCUUCCCCAUCAUGACGGC